rnacentral:tRNA from 1 species
GGGGUAGUGGAUUAUAAGAGUUACUUCAAGGUUUACACAAUAGUUUUGGGUACUAUCAAAUAAAGGUUCGAGUCCUUUCAUCCCCA